CUUCUUUGCUGACGAGUGGCGGACGGGUGAGUAAUGUCUGGGAAACUGCCUGAUGGAGGGGGAUAACUACUGGAAACGGUAGCUAAUACCGCAUAACGUCGCAAGACCAAAGAGGGGGACCUUCGGGCCUCUUGCCAUCGGAUGUGCCCAGAUGGGAUUAGCUAGUAGGUGGGGUAACGGCUCACCUAGGCGACGAUCCCUAGCUGGUCUGAGAGGAUGACCAGCCACACUGGAACUGAGACACGGUCCAGACUCCUACGGGAGGCAGCAGUGGGGAAUAUUGCACAAUGGGCGCAAGCCUGAUGCAGCCAUGCCGCGUGUAUGAAGAAGGCCUUCGGGUUGUAAAGUACUUUCAGCGGGGAGGAAGGGAGUAAAGUUAAUACCUUUGCUCAUUGACGUUACCCGCAGAAGAAGCACCGGCUAACUCCGUGCCAGCAGCCGCGGUAAUACGGAGGGUGCAAGCGUUAAUCGGAAUUACUGGGCGUAAAGCGCACGCAGGCGGUUUGUUAAGUCAGAUGUGAAAUCCCCGGGCUCAACCUGGGAACUGCAUCUGAUACUGGCAAGCUUGAGUCUCGUAGAGGGGGGUAGAAUUCCAGGUGUAGCGGUGAAAUGCGUAGAGAUCUGGAGGAAUACCGGUGGCGAAGGCGGCCCCCUGGACGAAGACUGACGCUCAGGUGCGAAAGCGUGGGGAGCAAACAGGAUUAGAUACCCUGGUAGUCCACGCCGUAAACGAUGUCGACUUGGAGGUUGUGCCCUUGAGGCGUGGCUUCCGGAGCUAACGCGUUAAGUCGACCGCCUGGGGAGUACGGCCGCAAGGUUAAAACUCAAAUGAAUUGACGGGGGCCCGCACAAGCGGUGGAGCAUGUGGUUUAAUUCGAUGCAACGCGAAGAACCUUACCUGGUCUUGACAUCCACGGAAGUUUUCAGAGAUGAGAAUGUGCCUUCGGGAACCGUGAGACAGGUGCUGCAUGGCUGUCGUCAGCUCGUGUUGUGAAAUGUUGGGUUAAGUCCCGCAACGAGCGCAACCCUUAUCCUUUGUUGCCAGCGGUCCGGCCGGGAACUCAAAGGAGACUGCCAGUGAUAAACUGGAGGAAGGUGGGGAUGACGUCAAGUCAUCAUGGCCCUUGCGACCAGGGCUACACACGUGCUACAAUGGCGCAUACAAAGAGAAGCGACCUCGCGAGAGCAAGCGGACCUCAUAAAGUGCGUCGUAGUCCGGAUUGGAGUCUGCAACUCGACUCCAUGAAGUCGGAAUCGCUAGUAAUCGUGGAUCAGAAUGCCACGGUGAAUACGUUCCCGGGCCUUGUACACACCGCCCGUCACACCAUGGGAGUGGGUUGCAAAAGAAGUAGGUAGCUUAACCUUCGGGAGGGCGCUUACCACUUUGUGAUUCAUGACUGGGAUAAAAU
rnacentral:rRNA from 1 species